rnacentral:rRNA from 1 species
ACAGAUCCUGUGCUUUACACAUGGCAAGUUCGUAGGGGGCAGCUAUACACUGUCUAUCAAUGCCACCAGCAGGGUGGAACUCGAGCGCAUGGGGAACAGUUCCCUUUUGAGUGUCGAGCCAUCACCUGUCACAGGCAAACGUUCUAGCUACGUGACAAAUCACAGGCCCUAUAUAGCGCGCGCAAAAAUUUAUGCGGCCUCCAAACGAAUGCGGGACACUCAGUCGUUCUGAAUUGACUAAUUGGGGAGGAAAUGGCUCUCGCAAGGCAACAAUCAGUUGCUGGUCUAACAGGACGACCAACCACCUUGGGACUGAGAAACUGACCAGAUUUCCUCCGCGGAGGUGGCACUGGGAAAUAUUGCACACUGCUACAAAACGUGACCCUGCCGUGUAUUGGGCGAGGAGAAGAGGCCUCUGAACCGUACAAAUCUUUUGUGCGAAAACAGACUUAUGGUCUCGCAACAUCAUUCGCCGGGUAAUAUUCAUGCCAUACCGCGCUAUCUUAUUGGACGAGACUUACGCAAUAACUCAUCACUCUUCUCUCGCGGUGACCAGGCGGCCGCAGCGAAAUAUUUCUUGUUUGCAGAGCGAUUAUCCCCGUAUUUAUUGUCUUCAGAGGCAGGCCGUUAGGAUGGGUGUCUUACGUCAUUGGUAAAAUCUGAGAGGAACUCCCUCUAGUCCAGCUCGUAAAUAUCUGUG